UUUAAAGUCUAACCUGCCCAAUGAGGAGUUUAAUGGCCGCGGUAAUUUGACCGUGCAAAGGUAGCAUAAUCAUUAGUUUUUUAAUUGAAAGCUGGUAUGAAUGGUUGGACGAGAGAAAAGCUGUCUCAAUUUGAUUUUAUUAGAAUUUUAUUUUUAAGUUAAAAAGCUUAAAUGAAUUUAAAAGACGAGAAGACCCUAUAGAGUUUUAUAUAUGUAGUAGCUUAGGGUUUUUAGGAUAGUUUUAUUUAGGCUAGUAAAUGUAUUUGGUUGGGGUGACAGAAAAAUUGAUUAAACUUUUUUUUAUAUAGAUACAUUAAUUUAUGAGUUUUUGAUCCAUUGAUAAGAAUGAUUAUAAGAUUAAAUUACCUUAGGGAUAACAGCGUUAUUUUUCCUGAGAGUUCUAAUCGAAGGAAGAGUUUGCGACCUCGAUGUUGGAUUAAAAUUAACUUUUGGUGCAGAAGCUAAAAGGUUAGGUCUGUUCAACCUUUAAAAUUUUACA
rnacentral:rRNA from 1 species